AGCAGUGAGGAAUAUUGGUCAAUGGACGCAAGUCUGAACCAGCCAUGCCGCGUGCAGGAUGACGGCUCUAUGGGUUGUAAACUGCUUUUAUACGAGGGUAAACGCUGCUACGUGUAGGAGCCUGAAAGUAUCGUACGAAUAAGGAUCGGCUAACUCCGUGCCAGCAGCCGCGGUAAUACGGAGGAUCCAAGCGUUAUCCGGAUUUAUUGGGUUUAAAGGGUGCGUAGGCGGUUUGAUAAGUUAGAGGUGAAAUACCGGGGCUCAACUCCGGAACUGCCUCUAAUACUGUUGAACUAGAGAGUAGUUGCGGUAGGCGGAAUGUAUGGUGUAGCGGUGAAAUGCUUAGAGAUCAUACAGAACACCGAUUGCGAAGGCAGCUUACCAAACUAUAUCUGACGUUGAGGCACGAAAGCGUGGGGAGCAAACAGGAUUAGAUACCCCGGU
rnacentral:rRNA from 1 species